AUCGCUUCUCGGCUCUCUGAGCUAAGAUCAAAGUGUAGUAUCUGUUCUUAUCAGCUUAAUAUCUGAUACAGUCUCCAUAGGAGACUCAGAAUAUUAAACUGAUUUUUGAGACCUGGCGGGUGCACGGAGCUUGCUCCGACCCUGCCGCGGGUCGGCUCCGCAUUGCAGUACCGUGGAGUUCGGCCCAGUGCAC